GCAAGUUGCAUUGUUCGCCACCACCCGAGAAGCAAAAGAUUCGAGAGUCCAGGCUUAAUAUACAUGCAUAGAUAGUGGUCUAAUGACAAGGGCCAACGACGGAAGCUCGGGACGGGGUCGUAUGAUGCGGAAGUCUCACGUACGGUUCCCUGAGAAGGGAGUGGCUACCUACUGGAGCUUCGACCAACCACCACCGGUAAAUUC
rnacentral:lncRNA from 1 species